AGUUAAAUCAAAUAGCUGCUGCUGUUCCUACUACUAACCCCGGUAUACCAUCACAACCGGAAGGAUUAGAAUCUGCAAAUCUUGUAGACAUGUUUGAUGCAGGUAAUUGGAGUAACCCCGUCACUGAAUUCUCUACUGACCUUCUGCCGGUUAAGAGAGGCGAUCCAGGACGCCCCGUCAUCCCGAUCUCCAUCGGCAUGGUGGACGUUCCAGAAGCACUCUGCGACUUUGGCUCCAGUGUCAACAUUAUACCUAGGGUACUCUAUGAAAAAUUCUUUACAUAUCCUUUAUUAGAGACAACCAUGUGUUUGCAGUUUGCAGAUCAGACGAUAACUUUUCCAAAAGGAAUAGUGAGGAAUCUUUGUGUCCGAGUUGGUACCUUAUAUGCCCCAGCAGACUUCGUAGUGGUAGAGACCGGAAAUGAUGAGAGAGCACCUAUUAUCUUAGGGAGGCCAUUCUUGAACACCACGGGAGCUAUCAUCUACGCCAGUGCUGCCAAGAUCAGUUUCUACGUCAAAGGGAAGAAGGAGACAUUUUUCUUCAAGAACAAGACUACACAAAUUCAAGAUCAAUCCAGACGUAAAUCAAGGAAGAGGACCAACAGAAGAAACAGGAACAAGCAAGUGUGGACCGAGUCAGCUAAGAUGGUCACUGUAGUCCAUGGAGGCCAAGAUCAUCAACUUAAGUCACCGUUUUUGACCAAGAAGGACGACCCAGGAAUGCCAAGCAUCUACUGCUCCAUAAAUGGAUACAACUUCUACAAGACGAUUUGCGACACCGGAUCGGGCGUCAACAUAAUGGCCGCAGUCACCUAUCGUCUCUUGUUCGGAACCAUGCCACUAAGACCAACGUACAUUCAGCUCCAGAUGGCAGAUCAGACAUUUCGAGAAGUCAAAGGAAUAGUAUCUGAUGUCCCAGUCAAAAUAGACGAUCAUUUUGUCUACACAGACUUUCAAGUUGUUGACAUGGGAGAAGAUGAGUAUGAUCCACCCAUCAUCCUUGGAAGACCGUUCCUCAGCACUGUUAAAGCAAUCAUCUACAUUGGAACCGAAGAAGUCCAUAUGCACUUCCCCUCAAAGAAGGUACGCCGUUACUUUAUUGACCCUGACUAUAUCGUUGAAGAAUCUAAGCAGGUGAGAAAGAGACGCAACCGCAACCAGAGGAGGCAGAUCAUCAAGGACGGAUGGGCAGACUAUGAAGGAGAAGUUGUAAGAUCAGAAGACGUUGAGUUUAAACAGAAUUAUCCAGAGGGGAUUGAAGCACCAAGUCAAGUGUGAAAAAUAAAGAUAACUAUACAAGAAGAGGAGGCGCUGCCGGAAGUACCGACUACGCCACCCAACGAACCUAAGGACGAUUAAGAAAAUGGAGAGUCCCGUUCGGAGGACUUAAAAACACCGAACGCCUUGCCAAGAGGUAAACUUGGUAGUUAUCAUUUCCCUUUCAAUUAUUUCAAAUAGUUUAUUUAGUUAAUCAUAUUCAUACUAUCCUAAAAAGAAAAUAAAAAUAUGAAAACCAGUAAGCCCCAUGUGAGUAUGCGAGUGGCAUAAAACCCAUAAGUACAUUCACUGUGGUGGCAUAAAAAUAAAAUAAUUAUUUUUUCUGCUUUAUAAAAAAAAAAUAUAAAAACAAGGAGUAAUAUUUAUUAAGGAGUCUCAACAUGAUAAAGGCUAGAUAUUUAUGCCAACACUUAAUCAGUUCCACAAGCUUUGUUGUCUAUUUGAGCUCCACAGAAUUUAAGAAUCAAGAAGACUAGCAGACGGAGGACAUUCUAAUCGCUGUCAGAAUACUGCUGACUUUCAAAUACACCUCUGCCACCUGCUAGCUACAUCAAGAGAAAUUACGUCAAAAUUCAGCUUGGGAGAGAGCACCCCUAUUUACCUCGAUAAGUAUUUCUAUCUAUCUUUAUACUUAUAUUAUUCUAGAAUAUAAAUACACAUAACUAUGAAAAACCAAAUAAAGAUUUUAUGCUUAUAUAUAUUUUGCUUAGUGUGUUUAAUAAAUAAAUAAAGUGGCUAUGCUAAUCUGUAUCUAAAUAAAACUUAAGCAUGGAUAUGAUAAAUAGUUGCUCUGCCUAAUUUGCAAAUUUUAAGUUCUCUCUCAAGUUUAGACAUAACUGUUAUAAUUUAAAUCUUGCUCUAGACCUAAACUUGUGGGAUGAAAACUUGAUCUGAAGUCUAAGUUGUUAAUGGAUACGAUAUGGGAAAGUUGAGCUGUUGUUUAUCUGUUCCUAGAGAUGCUAGAAUUCUGGAGAAUUUUAUCUUUGAAAAUCUUUAAAAUGUUGCAUGAUGAGUCCCUGUAUGAUGAGUGUUUAAAUUCCUACCACAGCCAUAUAUACAUGCUUGCUAGACUUUGAGCCACACAUUUACUAUUUACUGCUUAUGAGCAUUGAGUAUAGUCAAGCUGUGUAGACCCUUAGGGGCUUGUCAUGUGGUUAAAUCAAGAUUUCACUUGCACGUUCACUCAUAUAUGCUACUUCUACUCCAGAAGUACCAUCCACAUAUAUCCAUCCAUUUCCAUCUCCAGAAUCACCUAAAAAUAUUCUACUCUUAAUCCGGGAGAGAAUAACCAAAAAUAUUUCUGUUUUCCUCUUGUGAAAUAAAUGCUCAAGUUAUCUUGUUACUACCACUUGCUAUAUUAUCUCAAGAGAUGAAUGCUCUGAAAAAAAAGAAAAAAAGAUACGAGGAAAUAAAAAGGAGCAAGUGCUCGGAACCUCGAAAGAAAAGAAAAAGUGAGACAAGAGGUAAAAAUGGACAAGUGUCCGACAGUAGAAAUUAGGGGUACAAGAUACCCACCUGAGAGAAAAGAAAAGGAAGAGCAUCUCAUUCUCCUCAUAAAGUUUCAAAAGCAAGGAAGGUAUGUAUCCCCUCAAAGAGCAAAGUAGAAUUAGUCUUCCACCACCAUUGUUUUCACCAUUGUUGUCACCAUCACCACCAUACACCAUUCAUUCAUCACACAUGCACAUCUUGAUUUGGCUUAUUGAUUUGUUUCUUUGGAUCCAUGGUUUGACUAUGCAAUAAAUGUCUUGUAAGUAUGUAUAUUUUAUCUCCCACCUAUGAGCUCCAGAUAUUAAAGUCUUAUUAGAGUAGGAUGAGAGAGAAGGCAAUGUCACUAUGCCUCAUACCACAAAUACUACAUAUUUUGAGAGAAGGCAUAUACCAUCACUGCCUUGGUAAGGAUCCAAAAAAUACCACAAAAGAGAGACCUGAGAGAAUCAUACAAGGAAUCUCUGAGUUUUAUUUGAAAAUCUGCAAAAAACCCCAGAACUAUAGCGGAUCAAGAAUAAGAGACAUGGCACUUGGCUAGACUGUUCUAUCUUUUAACCACUCAAGAUAGAAGUGACGGUUACAAGUCCCAUGGUGAAGGUGAAGUAAGUAAGUUUUAAGUCUUGACAGUUUACUCUAACUCAGAGAUGAGAUCUUAUUUAAAAAGCAUGUGUACCGUCAAUUUUUUAAAGAUAUUGCAACAACUUAUGAUCCAUAGCUAAGUCUAUCCUUGCUCAGGGACGAGCAAGAGGUAAGCUUGGGGGAGUUUGUUGACGGUCCUUAAGUAUCAAAUUUAAUUAUCAAAUAAAUAAAGAAAAGGAUCCAAAUGAAAUCAACAUCCAGACUUAGGGUUUUAUCUGACAGAAUUCCACGAGUUUUGGUGUUUGUCUAUUUCUGCAGGGGGUUAUCAGGAAAUACGGAAGAAAGGUCCACAUGUCGGGAUUACGUAAAGAUAUUAACGUCCUGCGCAAUUAUCUUACAUCUAGAAGACUCCAGAAGCCACGAGACCGAAGCGGAGGCGAAACGGGGCCAGAGACAGGGCGCCCGCCCUGUCCUACUAGGCGCCCGCCCACCUCCUGUGUCCAAUCAGGACUCUGCUUUGCGGGAGAUCUCCACCGACCUAAAGGAUGAAUCUAAACCAUACAAUCUAUGUCGGUUUGAUCCAAUGGCCCAUAUUCACUUGAAGGGACUAUAAAACCAGACCCCCUGGCCCCUGGAGGAGAGAGCCUCUCAACCCUAAUUCAUUGUUCAUCAAGGGAGAAGAAGCCUCUGAUCAAGAUUAGAGCCACCACAUCAAUUAAAUAUCUAGAUUAGCAUAGCUACAUAGGAUUAGAACUAGAAGGAGUCAAUCUUCGAUUGGUUUCCGGAUCUGUCAGGAGGAUUCUUGGUAAUUCUCUAAUUGUGCUUCUAAUUGCUUUCUAAUUAUCUUUGUUCUUCAAUAUUAUGAAUAUGACUUUGUUCUACUUCAAUAUAUUGCUUAUGACUUUGCUCUACUUGCUUAUAUUCAAGAUUAUAUUGUUCUUAGUUUAUCAUAGUUAUGUACUUGGCUUAGUUAGAUUCGAUCUAUAUACAUGCUUAGGAUCGUAUAGCGUUUAUCCAUCGGAUCCAUGGGUAAAUGAUAGAUAUUGUGUAGGCGUGGUGCUUAUACCGUAUUUAUCUGUGAUUGUACCCAAUAUGCCAGAUCGUGGGGUGGUUCGUGAUAGUGACAGCUUCAUUGAUUCUUAUAUAGUCCCCCUCUCGUGUAUUGGGCUGGCAGAGCAACAUUAUUACAGGGGAGUGAUUGCUAUGUUUCUCAUAUUCCUUGCUAAUAUCACUAUGCAUGGGCGUAGUCUUGUCUCGCAAUGAUUGCUAAGUAUGCUUGCACUAAUUAUGAUAUGCUAGACUAUAUAGUUAAGAAUAACUUAGGGAAUAUUCUUGUAGUUCGUUCUAAUACCAUGCUAAUGACUUUCUAGAGUAUCUAAUUGAGGUGCUUAUCAUAUUUAUUAUGUGGCUAGAUCAGAUUAGUUAUCCUUGUCACUAUUAUUAUUUCAUAUAUCCUUUAUGUGACACUUAUCCCUGUAUGAAGAGUUAGAUAUAAUGUUCUCAAUUAUACAUGCAAUGAUAGAUUCUCAAUCUCAUAUUCUAUUCUGUAAUCAAUAGUGAUGAUUGCUAAUAACUUCCCAGUGGUAAAAAUAUAAAUAACGAUACCUGGAAUACUUCCCGGUUAAAAUGCUACAUCGGUAUUAAUCUGUGCGCUUGCAGAUCCCAUUCAUUAUUUAUUUAGAAGAGCAAUUGCAUAUUUCAAUACCACGUCUCUUAUAUCAUGCUGGGGAUGACAACUUGGCUUAAGUGGUGUGAGGGAUAGGUUUGGCAUUUUUGGCACCGUUACUAGAUUUAGAGAACUUAGUCUACUUUUGGUAAUGAUGUUAAGAAUACUCAACAAGCAUUUUUUGGCGCCGUUGCCGGGGAAGGUUGAUUACAAAUCAGGAAUGGAAUAAAAGAUUUUGAGUUAUCAUUCGCAUCACUAAUAUGAUUGAGCUUAUCUAUUCUCUCAUACAGUUUUACCCCGAUAUUUUUCUAUUUUAUCUUAUGCAGGGGAAUGUAUGAAUAGAAGACAUCUUCUAGGAAAUUUUGACAAUCCCGAAGCAUUAUUCAAGAAGACGAGGGCCAAGCUCAAGAAGAGAUCAUCAACACUUCACGAAGAAGCUUCAUCUAAUCAAGAAGAUCACCGGAACUUGUCUUCAGAGUUCGAAGCCAUGGCGAACAAAUCGAUCCGCGAGCUCUCAGCUCCCACUACGGACAACAUCCGCACUGGACCUGUUGCAGAGAUCGAUGGCAACUUUGAGCUCAAGCCUGGACUUAUCAACAUGGUGCAAUCCAACCAGUUCUGUGGGAAGGCACACGAAGAUGCUAGUGCUCAUUUACAACACUUCCUGGAGAUUUGCAACACAUUCACCAUAGCAGGAGUUUCCAAAGACGCUAUACUACUUCGCCUCUUCCCAUUCUCACUGUUAGGAAGAGCGAAGCAGUGGUUCUACACUACAAAGGAGAAGAAUACUACGUGGGCACUCUGCUCAACAAACUUCCUGGCAAAGUUCUUUCCCAUGGGCAAGACCAAUGCUCUCUGUGGGAAGAUUACAAGUUUUCAGCAACAAAAUGAUGAAUCUGUUCCAGAAGCAUGGGAGCGCUUUCAAGACUACAUCCUAGAAUGUCCCCAUCAUGGAAUGAAGAGUUGGCUAUUGAUGCAGACAUUCUAUCAUGGGCUCAGCAACAGUGCCCGAGAGACCAUGGAUGCUGCAGCUGGAGGAGCAUUCUUAUCACUUACUAUACCACAAGCCACAGCUCUUGUGGAGAAGAUGGCGUCCAAUCAAAGCUGGAAUGAAGAGAGGACCCAGACACGCAAGAGAGGUGGAGGUAUGCAUCAGCUGAAGGAGGUAGACAUGCUGUCUGCAAAGCUAGACCUGCUCAUGAAGAAGCUCGAUGAUAGAGCUGGAGACAAGAAAGAAGUUAUGCACAUCUACGAUUCUCACAUGACUUGUGAGGAGUGUGGAGAUACUGGACACUCAGGCAACCACUGCUCUGAGAUGCUUGAGGAUGUGAACUACAUCAACAACAACUACUACUACUACUACAACCGUCCUCAACAAAAUCAAGGUUGGAAUCAACAGAGGCCUAACUACUGAGGUAAUUCUCAAGGUAACAAUUCUUACAACAAUAAUAAUAAUUUUCCACCUUUGAGAGAGUUAGUGUCUAAUCAAGGAAAGCUAAUGGAUAACCUAUCUAAGAAAUUGGCAUCUAAUGAUAAAAUGCUAGAAAAUAUAAAUAAUAGAAUGGAUAAUUUCUCUACUGCCAUCAAGAAUCAAAUUAGCUUUAAUAAAAUGAUUGAAUCUCAGUUAAAUCAAAUAGCUGCUGCUGUUCCUACUACUAACCCCGGUAUACCAUCACAACCGGAAGGAUUAGAAUCUGCAAAUCUUGUAGACAUGUUUGAUGCAGGUAAUUGGAGUAACCCCGUCACUGAAUUCUCUACUGACCUUCUGCCGGUUAAGAGAGGCGAUCCAGGACGCCCCGUCAUCCCGAUCUCCAUCGGCAUGGUGGACGUUCCAGAAGCACUCUGCGACUUUGGCUCCAGUGUCAACAUUAUACCUAGGGUACUCUAUGAAAAAUUCUUUACAUAUCCUUUAUUAGAGACAACCAUGUGUUUGCAGUUUGCAGAUCAGACGAUAACUUUUCCAAAAGGAAUAGUGAGGAAUCUUUGUGUCCGAGUUGGUACCUUAUAUGCCCCAGCAGACUUCGUAGUGGUAGAGACCGGAAAUGAUGAGAGAGCACCUAUUAUCUUAGGGAGGCCAUUCUUGAACACCACGGGAGCUAUCAUCUACGCCAGUGCUGCCAAGAUCAGUUUCUACGUCAAAGGGAAGAAGGAGACAUUUUUCUUCAAGAACAAGACUACACAAAUUCAAGAUCAAUCCAGACGUAAAUCAAGGAAGAGGACCAACAGAAGAAACAGGAACAAGCAAGUGUGGACCGAGUCAGCUAAGAUGGUCACUGUAGUCCAUGGAGGCCAAGAUCAUCAACUUAAGUCACCGUUUUUGACCAAGAAGGACGACCCAGGAAUGCCAAGCAUCUACUGCUCCAUAAAUGGAUACAACUUCUACAAGACGAUUUGCGACACCGGAUCGGGCGUCAACAUAAUGGCCGCAGUCACCUAUCGUCUCUUGUUCGGAACCAUGCCACUAAGACCAACGUACAUUCAGCUCCAGAUGGCAGAUCAGACAUUUCGAGAAGUCAAAGGAAUAGUAUCUGAUGUCCCAGUCAAAAUAGACGAUCAUUUUGUCUACACAGACUUUCAAGUUGUUGACAUGGGAGAAGAUGAGUAUGAUCCACCCAUCAUCCUUGGAAGACCGUUCCUCAGCACUGUUAAAGCAAUCAUCUACAUUGGAACCGAAGAAGUCCAUAUGCACUUCCCCUCAAAGAAGGUACGCCGUUACUUUAUUGACCCUGACUAUAUCGUUGAAGAAUCUAAGCAGGUGAGAAAGAGACGCAACCGCAACCAGAGGAGGCAGAUCAUCAAGGACGGAUGGGCAGACUAUGAAGGAGAAGUUGUAAGAUCAGAAGACGUUGAGUUUAAACAGAAUUAUCCAGAGGGGAUUGAAGCACCAAGUCAAGUGUGAAAAAUAAAGAUAACUAUACAAGAAGAGGAGGCGCUGCCGGAAGUACCGACUACGCCACCCAACGAACCUAAGGACGAUUAAGAAAAUGGAGAGUCCCGUUCGGAGGACUUAAAAACACCGAACGCCUUGCCAAGAGGUAAACUUGGUAGUUAUCAUUUCCCUUUCAAUUAUUUCAAAUAGUUUAUUUAGUUAAUCAUAUUCAUACUAUCCUAAAAAGAAAAUAAAAAUAUGAAAACCAGUAAGCCCCAUGUGAGUAUGCGAGUGGCAUAAAACCCAUAAGUACAUUCACUGUGGUGGCAUAAAAAUAAAAUAAUUAUUUUUUCUGCUUUAUAAAAAAAAAAUAUAAAAACAAGGAGUAAUAUUUAUUAAGGAGUCUCAACAUGAUAAAGGCUAGAUAUUUAUGCCAACACUUAAUCAGUUCCACAAGCUUUGUUGUCUAUUUGAGCUCCACAGAAUUUAAGAAUCAAGAAGACUAGCAGACGGAGGACAUUCUAAUCGCUGUCAGAAUACUGCUGACUUUCAAAUACACCUCUGCCACCUGCUAGCUACAUCAAGAGAAAUUACGUCAAAAUUCAGCUUGGGAGAGAGCACCCCUAUUUACCUCGAUAAGUAUUUCUAUCUAUCUUUAUACUUAUAUUAUUCUAGAAUAUAAAUACACAUAACUAUGAAAAACCAAAUAAAGAUUUUAUGCUUAUAUAUAUUUUGCUUAGUGUGUUUAAUAAAUAAAUAAAGUGGCUAUGCUAAUCUGUAUCUAAAUAAAACUUAAGCAUGGAUAUGAUAAAUAGUUGCUCUGCCUAAUUUGCAAAUUUUAAGUUCUCUCUCAAGUUUAGACAUAACUGUUAUAAUUUAAAUCUUGCUCUAGACCUAAACUUGUGGGAUGAAAACUUGAUCUGAAGUCUAAGUUGUUAAUGGAUACGAUAUGGGAAAGUUGAGCUGUUGUUUAUCUGUUCCUAGAGAUGCUAGAAUUCUGGAGAAUUUUAUCUUUGAAAAUCUUUAAAAUGUUGCAUGAUGAGUCCCUGUAUGAUGAGUGUUUAAAUUCCUACCACAGCCAUAUAUACAUGCUUGCUAGACUUUGAGCCACACAUUUACUAUUUACUGCUUAUGAGCAUUGAGUAUAGUCAAGCUGUGUAGACCCUUAGGGGCUUGUCAUGUGGUUAAAUCAAGAUUUCACUUGCACGUUCACUCAUAUAUGCUACUUCUACUCCGGAAGUACCAUCCACAUAUAUUCAUCCAUUUCCAUCUCCAGAAUCACCUAAAAAUAUUCUACUCCUAAUCCGGGAGAGAAUAACCAAAAAUAUUUCUGUUUUCCUCUUGUGAAAUAAAUGCUCAAGUUAUCUUGUUACUACCACUUGCUAUAUUAUCUCAAGAGAUGAAUGCUCUGAAAAAAAAAGAAAAAAAGAUACGAGGAAAUAAAAAGGAGCAAGUGCUCGGAACCUCGAAAGAAAAGAAAAAGUGAGACGAGAGGUAAAAAUGGACAAGUGUCCGACAGUAGAAAUUAGGGGUACAAGAUACCCACCUGAGAGAAAAGAAAAAGAAGAGCAUCUCAUUCUCCUCAUAAAGUUUCAAAAGCAAGGAAGGUAUGUAUCCUCUCAAAGAGCAAAGUAGAAUUAGACUUCCACCACCAUUGUUUUCACCAUUGUUGUCACCAUCACCACCAUACACCAUUCAUUCGUCACACAUGCACAUCUUGAUUUGGCUUAUUGAUUUGUUUCUUUGGAUCCAUGGUUUGACUAUGCAAUAAAUGUCUUGUAAGUAUGUAUAUUUUAUCUCCCACCUAUGAGCUCCAGAUAUUAAAGUCUUAUUAGAGUAGGAUGAGAGAGAAGGCAAUGUCACUAUGCCUCAUACCACAAAUACUACAUAUUUUGAGAGAAGGCAUAUACCAUCACUGCCUUGGUAAGGAUCCAAAAAAUACCACAAAAGAGAGACCUGAGAGAAUCAUACAAGGAAUCUCUGAGUUUUAUUUGAAAAUCUGCAAAAAACGCCAGAGCUAUAGCGGAUCAAGAAUAAGAGACAUGGCACUUGGCUAGACUGUUCUAUCAUUUAACCACUCAAGAUAGAAGUGACGGUUACAAGUCCCAUGGUGAAGGUGAAGUAAGUAAGUUUUAAGUCUUGACAGUUUACUCUAACUCAGAGAUGAGAUCUUAUUUAAAAAGCAUGUGUACCGUCAAUUUUUUAAAGAUAUUGCAACAACUUAUGAUCCAUAGCUAAGUCUAUCCUUACUCAGGGACGAGCAAGAGGUAAGCUUGGGGGAGUUUGUUGACGGUCCUUAAGUAUCAAAUUUAAUUAUCAAAUAAAUAAAGAAAAGGAUCCAAAUGAAAUCAACAUCCAGACUUAGGGUUUUAUCUGACAGAAUUCCACGAGUUUUGGUGUUUGUCUAUUUCUGCAGGGGGUUAUCAGGAAAUACGGAAGAAAGGUCCACAUGUCGGGAUUACGUAAAGAUAUUAACGUCCUGCGCAAUUAUCUUACAUCUAGAAGACUCCAGAAGCCACGAUACCGAAGCGGAGGCGAAACGGGGCCAGAGACAGGGCGCCCGCCCUGUCCUACUGGGCGCCCGCCCACCUCCUGUGUCCAAUCAGGACUCUGCUUUGCGGGAGAUCUCCACCGACCUAAAGGAUGAAUCUAAACCAUACAAUCUAUGUCGGUUUGAUCCAAUGGCCCAUAUUCACUUGAAGGGACUAUAAAACCAGACCCCCUGGCCCCUGGAGGAGAGAGCUUCUCAACCCUAAUUCAUUGUUCAUCAAGGGAUAAGAAGCCUCUGAUCAAGAUUAGAGCCACCACAUCAAUUAGAUAUCUAGAUUAGCAUAGCUACAUAGGAUUAGAACUAGAAGGAGUCAAUCUUCGAUUGGUUUCCGGAUCUGUCAGGAGGAUUCUUGGUAAUUCUCUAAUUGUGCUUCUAAUUGCUUUCUAAUUAUCUUUGUUCAUCAAUAUUAUGAAUAUGACUUUGUUCUACUUCAAUAUAUUGCUUAUGACUUUGCUCUACUUGCUUAUAUUCAAGAUUAUAUUGUUCUUAGUUUAUCAUAGUUAUGUACUUGGCUUAGUUAGAUUCGAUCUAUAUACAUGCUUAGGAUCGUAUAGCGUUUAUCCAUCGGAUCCAUGGGUAAAUGAUAGAUAUUGUGUAGGCGUGGUGCUUAUACCGUAUUUAUCUGCGAUUGUACCCAAUAUGCCAGAUCGUGGGGUGGUUCGUGAUAGUGACAGCUUCAUUGAUUCUUAUAUAGUCCCCCUCUCGUGUAUUGGGCUGGCAGAGUAACAUUAUUACAGGGGAGUGAUUGUUAUGUUUCUCAUAUUCCUUGCUAAUAUCACUAUGCAUGGGCGUAGUCUUGUCUCGCAAUGAUUGCUAAGUAUGCUUGCACUAAUUAUGAUAUGCUAGACUAUAUAGUUAAGAAUAACUUAGGGAAUAUUCUUGUAGUUCGUUCUAAUACCAUGCUAAUGACUUUCUAGAGUAUCUAAUUGAGGUGCUUAUCAUAUUUAUUAUGUGGCUAGAUCAGAUUAGUUAUCCUUGUCACUAUUAUUAUUUCAUAUAUCCUUUAUGUGACACUUAUCCCUGUAUGAAGAGUUAGAUAUAAUGUUCUCAAUUAUACAUGCAAUGGUAGAUGCUCAAUCUCAUAUUCUAUUCUGUAAUCAAUAGUGAUGAUUGCUAAUAACUUCCUAGUGGUAAAAAUAUAAAUAACGAUACCUGGAAUACUUCCCGGUUAAAAUGCUACAUCGGUAUUAAUCUGUGCGCUUGCAGAUCCCAUUCAUUAUUUAUUUAGAAGAGCAAUUGCAUAUUUCAAUACCGCGUCUCUUAUAUCAUGCUGGGGAUGACAACUUGGCUUAAGUGGUGUGAGGGAUAGGUUUGGCAUUUUUGGCACCGUUACUAGAUUUAGAGAACUUAGUCUACUUUUGGUAAUGAUGUUAAGAAUACCCAACACUCUUGCUGGCUUAGGUUUCAUGGGCCACUUAGCCUAUUAACUAAUCGAUGCCUUGAGACACCCGGGGAUUAUAACCCUAGUAGAAUCACAUCAACAUCUCCUAGAUAUUUCAUGUCAAAUCUCUUUGACAUGAAAGACUUCUCUCAUUGAUACCAUCAAUGAUUCUAUCAAAAAUUAGAAUGUCAUUCACAUACAAACAUAAAAUAACUCCUCCUCCGCCACCAUAGCAAUAACACACACCUCAUUAUUGGCCAAGCCCAUAGAAGUUAAAGUUCUGUCAAACAUAAAGAGAGUUACCUUAUUGAUCGUUGCAUGGCCUACGAGUUGCCCCUAGAUCAUUGUCCUAUGUUGAAAGAUCCUUCCAUAAUUGAGUGAUACUUAGUGGAUUAAUGCUUUCCUUGAGAUGAUGAACUAAGUUAGUCCAGAAGGUGAUGUUGAGAGACAUGGAGGCCAUCGGAUGGCAUGGGCAUGUGAUGAAAAGCUCAACAAGUCAGAAAAUGAUGGAGAUGGAUGGAGUUAAAAGCAAACCCACAAAAGUAAAGGUAUAUAAGAUAGGUUGUGUGCUUUUGGCAGCCUAUAGUAUAUAGAGAAGCAAUUGGAUGGGUUUAUUAGGAUAGAUAGUCGUACUACAAAGAGGAGAAUUCUUUAGCUAAUAUAGUUAUCUAGUGCCACUAGGUGGCAACUAACAAUGCAUAUUUAUUAAAUCAAGUGAUAGGGUAAGGAAUCAAGUGAACUGAAAAUGCUAACUCAAUGCUAACAAUGCUUAGCACUCAUCUAUUAUUUCUUAUUGUUUCUAGAGAUAACCUUGCUAAUGAUUUACGUCUCUCAUUGAGGACGUCCUAAAUAGGAAGGUAGCUCUAAGCUACUCCCUAUAUCCCAAAAAGAAUGUCAUCAUAGUGUUUGAAAUAUGUCCCUAAAAGACUACCAUUUUAGCUUAUUCCCACCUGAGAUCCCUUUCUCUAGCCAUCCGCUCACCCCAUCCCUCCCUCGUUGUCAUCUCUCUCCCUCCCUUCACUUUUUCCUCUUCUCUCUUCCUCUCCACCAAUGACCCCUUCCUCUUCCCAUUUAUCAGCAUGUAAAGUGACACUACAUGGCGGGGCUAUGCCAGGGCGAUGAAGAUCUAGCUCCUCCCUUCCUUUGCUCCUCCCACGCCCGUUGGCGCUCUCCCUUUUUCUCACACCGCUAGAGAGGAGGCUGAGACAGCAGCGCAGAGUUGAUGGAUCUGUUUGGGAUGGAGCAGAGGUAGGUGAUUGGGAGGGUGGUGCCUCCUUGGUGGCAUAUGAUGUGAGAAGACUUGUGGCAUUGGCCUCGGCCUCCCUUGCAGUGCUUGUCAUGGAACCAAAAGGUGGCAACCUAAAAGCCCUAGUUUAGUUUUGGAUAAUUGAUGAAACUUAGAGACUAAUCCUAAUGCUAAGUGUGAAGACAUGUAAAGAUGGUUCCAUGCCAAGUGGUGGAGCUAGACAUGAUCAUGAACGAUGAUGAUGACCACAUGAUGAUCAAGUGCUCAACUUGAAAAGAAGAAAGAGAAAAACAAAACCCGAUUGAUCAAUCCAAAUGUAUUGCUUAGGGUUUUGGCUUUGGUGAUCAAGACACCAUAGAGGUUGUGAUCACACUUAGGAUAGAUAGCCAUACUAUGAAAAGAAGAAUUUCACGGUUAAAAUGGUUAUUGAGUGCCACUAGGUGUCAUUAUUCAUAUGCAUGCAUUUAGAAUUUAGUGUGUUAACAUAACCGUUGAAAAAUGUUUAUGAAAAUUUGCUAACACAUGUGUACAAGGUGGUACACUUGGCGGUUAGCAUAUUUGAGCAAGGGUUGAAGAGGUAGCAAAGUUGGUGCAGUAGUGAAGUUUGCACGUGUGUGUCUGCUGUGGUCUUAGGGUUGACUACCGGAUGCGUCAGGUGUCUCUAUUCACCAGCAGGUUGUGAGCAAGGAGUUUGUGCAGUGUGUGCACCAAACGCUGGUGAAAGCCCAAGUUUGGUUUUGGUAAUUAAUGACACCAAGUUGCUAAUGCCUUUUGUUUAAGUGAUUUGAGUUAGGCAUAGCAAACACAUGUGAUGAAGGUGCAUGGUAGCAUGGAAAGGUGGCCACAUGAUCACAAAGGGAUGAAGCAUGAAGUGGAGAUCAUGGUGAUAGAUGAGGAGUAAAGUGAUCAAGGCAAAGGUAUAAACAUAGGGCUUUACUCUUGCCGGUCUAAGUUGAGUAGAGAAGUGAUUGACCGGAUUUAGGAUAGAUAACCAACUAUCAAGAGGGGAAAUCACGGUCAUCUCUCGAAUCAAGUGCUACUAGGUUCAUAUCUUGAGCAUAUGCAUUAGGAUCUAGUAAAGUGCUAACCUAACUCCUUUGUGAAAAUGUUUGUGAAAAGCUAACACACAUGCACUUUGGUGGUGGACACUUGUUGGUGUUAGCACAUUUGCAAAGGACGUGGAGUUCCUAGGGUUGAGAGGGGUUUGGUCGGCGCUUUUUGAGUAAUUUAAGUGUAUAUUCUCUAUUGCGCCGGUGGGAAAUUUGGAGAAGUCGCGGAAGACCGGACGCAGUGCGCGGUGUUGACGGUCCUUAAGUAUCAAAUUUAAUUAUCAAAUAAAUAAAGAAAAAGAUCCAAAUGAAAUCAAGAUCUAGACUUAGGGUUUUAUCUGACAGAAUUCCAUGAGUUUUGGUGUUUGUCUAUUUCUGCAGGGGGUUAUCAGGAAAUAUGGAAGAAAGGCCCACAUGUCGGGAUUACGUAAAGAUAUUAACGUGCUGCGCAAAUAUCCUACAUAUAGAAGACUCCAGAAGCCACGAGACCGAAGCGGAGGCGAAACGGGGCCAGAGGCAGGGCGCCCGCCCUCCUGCCCUGGGCGCCCGCCCCCUCCAGGAGUCCAAUCAGGACUCUGCUUUGCGGGAAGUCUCCACCGACCUAAAGGAUGGAUCUAAACCAUACAAUCUAUGUCGGUUUGAUCCAAGGGCCCAUAUUCACUUGAAGGGACUAUAAAACCAGACCCCCUGGCCCCUGGAGGAGGGAGCCUCUCAACCCUAAUUCAUUGUUCCAUCAAGGGAGAAGAAGCCUCUGAUCAAGAUUAGAGCCACCACAUCAAUUAGAUAUCUAGAUUAGCAUAGCUACAUAGGAUUAGAACUAGAAGGAGUCAAUCUUCGAUUGGUUUUCGGAUCUGUCAGGAGGAUUCUUGGUAAUUCUCUAAUUGUGCUUCUAAUUGCUUUCUAAUUAUCUUUGUUCUUCAAUAUUAUGAAUAUGACUUUGUUCUACUUCAAUAUAUUGCUUAUGACUUUGCUCUACUUGCUUAUAUUCAAGAUUAUAUUGUUCUUAGUUUGUCAUAGUUAUGUACUUGGCUUAGUUAGAUUCGAUCUAUAUACAUGCUUAGGAUCGUAUAGCGUUUAUCCAUCGGAUCCAUGGGUAAAUGAUAGAUAUUGUGUAGGCGUGGUGCUUAUACCGUAUUUAUCUGCGAUUGUACCCAAUAUGCCAGAUCGUGGGGUGGUUCGUGAUAGUGACAGCUUCAUUGAUUCUUAUAUAGUCCCCCUCUCGUGUAUUGGGCUGGCAGAGCAACAUUAUUACAGGGGAGUGAUUGCUAUGUUUCUCAUAUUCCUUGCUAAUAUCACUAUGCAUGGGCGUAGUCUUGUCUCACAAUGAUUGCUAUGUAUGCUUGCACUAACUAUGAUAAUGCUAGACUAUAUAGUUGAGAAUAACUUAGGGAAUAUUCUUGUAGUUCAUUCUAAUACCAUGCCAAUGACUUUCUAGAGUAUCUAAUUGAGGUGCUUAUCAUAUUUAUUAUGUGGCUAGAUCAGAUUAGUUAUCCUUGUCACUAUUAUUAUUUCAUAUAUCCUUUAUGUGACACUUAUCCCUGUAUGAUGAGUUAGAUAUAAUGUUCUCAAUUAUACAUGCAAUGAUAGAUGCUCCAUCUCAUAUUCUAUUCUGUAAUCAAUAGUGAUGAUUGCUAAUCCCUUCCCAGUGGUAAAAAUAUAAAUAACGAUACCUGGAAUACUUCCCGGUUAAAAUGCUACAUCGGUAUUAAUCUGUGCGCUUGCAGAUCCCAUUCAUUAUUUAUUUAGAAGACCAAUUGCAUAUUUCAAUACCGCGUCUCUCAUAUCAUGCUGGGGAUGACAACUUGGCUUAAGUGGUGUGAGGGAUAGGUUUGGCAUUUUUGGCACCGUUGCUAGAUUUAGAACUUAGUCUACUUUUAGUAAUGAUGUUAAGAAUACCCAACAAGCAUUUUUGGCGCCGUUGCCGGGGAAGGUUGAUUACCAAUCAGGAAUGGAAUAAAAGAUUUAGAGUAAUCAUUCGCAUCACUAAUAUGAUUGAGCUUAUCUAUUCUCUCAUACAGUUUUACCCCGAUAUUUUUCUAUUUUAUCUUAUGCAGGGGAAUGUAUGAAUAGAAGACAUCUUCCAGGAAAUUUUGUUGACGAUCCUGAAGCAUUAUUCAAGAAGACGAGAGCCAAGCUAAAGAAAUCAUCAACACUUCACGAAGAAGUUUCAUCCAAUCAAGAAGAUCACCGGAACUUGUCUUCAGAGUUCGAAGCCAUGGCGAACAAAUCAAUCCGCGAGUUCUCAGCUCCCACUACGGACAACAUCCGCACUGGACCUGCUGCAGAGAUCGAUGGCAACUUUGAGCUCAAGCCUGGACUUAUCAACAUGGUGCAAUCCAACCAGUUCUGUGGGAAGGCACACGAAGAUGCUAGUGCUCAUUUACAACACUUCCUGGAGAUUUGCAACACAUUCACCAUAGCAGGAGUUUCCAAAGACGCUAUACUACUUCGCCUCUUCCCAUUCUCACUGUUAGGAAGAGUGAAGCAGUGGUUCUACACUACAAAGGAGAAGAAUACUACGUGGGCACUCUGCUCAACAAACUUCCUGGCAAAGUUCUUUCCCAUGGGCAAGACCAAUGCUCUCCGUGGGAAGAUUACAAGUUUUCAGCAACAAAAUGAUGAAUCUGUUCCCGAAGCAUGGGAGCGCUUUCAAGACUACAUCCUAGAAUGUCCCCAUCAUGGAAUGGAGAGUUGGCUAUUGAUGCAGACGUUUUAUCAUGGGCUCAGUAACAGUGCCCGAGAGACCAUGGAUGCUGCAGCUGGAGGAGCAUUCUUAUCACUUACUAUACCACAAGCCACAGCUCUUGUGGAGAAGAUGGCGUCCAAUCAAAGCUGGAAUGAAGAGAGGACCCAGACACGCAAGAGAGGUGGAGGUAUGCAUCAGCUGAAGGAGGUAGACAUGCUGUCUGCAAAGUUAGACCUGCUCAUGAAGAAGCUCGAUGAUAGAGCUGGAGACAAGAAAUAAGUUAUGCACAUCUACGACUCUCACAUGACUUGUGAGGAGUGUGGAGACACUGGACACUCAGGCAACCACUGCCCUGAGAUACUUGAGGAUGUGAACUACAUCAACAACAACAACUACUACUACAACCGUCCUCAACAAAAUCAAGGUUGGAAUCAACAGAGGCCUAACUACUCAGGUAAUUAUCAAGGUAACAAUUCUUACAAUAAUAAUAAUUUUCCACCUUUGAGAGAGUUAGUGUCUAAUCAAGGAAAGCUAAUGGAUAACCUAUCUAAGAAAUUGGCAUCUAAUGAUAAAAUGCUAGAAAAUAUAAAUAAUAGAAUGGAUAAUUUCUCUACUGCCAUCAAGAAUCAAAUUAGCUUUAAUAAAAUGAUUGAAUCUCAGUUAAAAUCAAAUAGCUGCUGCUGUUCCUACUACUAACCCCGGUAUACCAUCACAACCGGAAGGAUUAGAAUCUGCAAAUCUUGUAGACGUGUUUGAUGCAGGUAAUUGGAGUAACCCCGUCACUGAAUUUUCUACUGACCAUGUGCCGGUCAAGAGAGGCGAUCCAGGACGCCCCGUCAUCCCGAUCUCCAUCGGCAUGGUGGACUUCCCAGAAGCACUCUGUGACUUUGGCUCUAGCGUCAACAUUAUACCCAGGGUACUCUAUGAGAAAUUCUUUACAUAUCCUUUAUUAGAGACAACCAUGUGUUUGCAGUUUGCAGAUCAGACGAUAACUUUUCCAAAAGGAAUAGUGAGGAACCUUUGUGUCCGAGUUGGUACCUUGUAUGCACCAGCAGACUUCGUAGUGGUAGAGACUGGAAAUGAUGAGAGAGCACCUAUCAUCUUAGGGAGGCCAUUCUUGAACACCACGGGAGCUAUCAUCUACGCCAGUGCUGCCAAGAUCAGUUUCUAUGUCAAAGGGAAGAAGGAGACAUUUUUCUUCAAGAACAAGACUACACAAAUUCCAAAUCAAUCCAGACGUGAAUCAAGGAAGAGGACCAACAGAAGAAACAGGAACAAGCAAGUGUGGACCGAGUCAGCUAAGAUGGUCACUGUAGUCCAUGGAGGCCAAGAUCACCAACUGAAGUCACCGUUUUUGACCAAGAAGGACGACCCAGGAAUGCCAAGCAUUUACUGCUCCAUAAAUGGAUACAACUUCUACAAGACGAUUUGCGACAUCGGAUCAGGCGUCAACAUAAUGGCCGCAGUCACUUAUCGGCUCUUGUUCGGGACCAUGCCACUAAGACCAACAUACACUCAGCUCCAGAUGGCAGAUCAGACAUUUCGAGAAGUUCAAGGAACAGUAUCUGAUGUCCCAGUCAAAAUAGACGAUCACUUUGUCUACACAGACUUUCAAGUUGUUGACAUGGGAGAAGAUGAGUAUGAUCCACCCAUCAUCCUUGGAAGACCGUUCCUCAGCACCGUUAAAGCAAUUAUCUACAUUGGAACCGGAGAAGUCCAUAUGCACUUUCCCUCAGAGAAGGUACGCCGUUAUUUUACUGACCCUAACUAUAUCAUUGAAGAAUCUAAGCAGGUCAGAAAGAGACGCAACCGCAACCAGAGGAGGCAGAUCAUCAAGGACGGAUGGGCAGACUAUGAAGGAGAAGUUGUAAGAUCAGAAGACAUUGAGUUUAAACAGAAUUAUCCAGAGGAGAUUGAAGCACCGAGUCAGGUAUGGAAAAUGAAGAUAACUAUACAAGAAGAGGAGGCACUGCCGGAAGUACCGACUACGCCACCCAACGAACCUCAGGACGAUUAAGAAAUUAGAGAGUCCCGUUCGGAGGACUUAAAAACACCGAACGCCUUGCCAAGAGGUAAACUUGGUAGUUACCCUUUUCCUUUCAAUUAUUUCAAAUAGUUUACUUAGUUAAUCAUGUUCAUACUAUCCUAAAAAGAAAAUAAAAAUAUGAAAAACCGUAAGCCCCAUGUGAAUAUACGAGUGGCAUAAAACCCAUACGUACAUUCACUGUGGUGGCAUAAAAAUAAAAUAAAUAUUUUUCUGCUUUAUAAAAUAAAAAUAUAAAAACAGGGAGUAAUAAUUAUUAAGGAGUCUCAAGAUGAUGAAGGCUAUAUAUUUAUGCUAACACUUAAUCAGUUCCACAAGCUUUGUUGUCUAUUUGAGCUCCACAGAAUUUAAGAAUCAAGAAGACUAGCAGACGGAGGACAUUCUAAUCGCUGUCAGAAUGCUGCUGACUUUCAACUACACCUCUGCCACCUGUUAGCUACAUCAAGAGAAAUUACGUCAAAAUUCAGCUUGGGGGAGAGCACCCCCAUUUAUCCCGAUAAGUAUUUCUAUCUAUCUUUAUACUUAUAUUAUUUUAGAAUAUUAAAAUACAUAAACUAUGGGAAAACCAAAUAAAGAUUUUAAGCUUAUAUAUAUAUAUCUUUUGCUUAGUGUGUUUAAUAAAUAAAUAAAGUGGCUAUGCUAAUCUGUAUCUAAAUAAAACUUAAGCAUGGAUAUGAUGAAUAGUUGCUCUGCCUAAUUUGCAAAUUUUAAGUUCUCUCUCAAGUUUAGAUAUAACUGUUAUAAUUUAAAGCUUGCUCUAGACCUAAACUUGUGGGAUGAAAACUUGAUCUGAAGUCUAAGUUGUUAACGGAUACGAUAUGGGAAGGCUGAGCUGCUGUUUAUCUGUUCCUAGAGAUGCUAGAAUUCUGGAGAAUUUUAUCUUUGAAAAUCUUUAAAAUGUUGCAUGAUGAGUUCCUGUAUGAUGAGAGCUUAAAAUUCCUACCACAGCCAUAUAUACAUGCUUGCUAGACUUUGAGCCACACAUUUACUAUUUACUUCUUAUGAGCAUUGAGUGUGGUCAAGCUGUGUAGACCCUUAGGAGCUUGUCAUGCGGUUAAAUCAAGAUUUCACUUGCACGUUCACUCAUAUAUGCUACUUCUACUCUGGAAGUACCAUCCACAUAUAUCCAUUCAUUCCAUCUCCAGAACCACCUGAAAAUAUUCUACUCCUAAUCCGGGAGAGAAUAACCAAAAAUAUUUUCUGUUUUCCCCUUUGUGAAAUAAAUGCUCAAGUUAUCUUGUUACUACCACUUGCUAUAUUAUCUCAAGAGAUGAGUGCUCUAAAAAAAAGAGAGAAAAUAAUACGAGGAAAUAAAAAGGAGCAAGUGCUCGGAACCUCGAAAGAAAAGAAAGAAGUGAGAUGAGAGGUAAAAAUGGACAAGUGUCCGACAGUAGAAUUAGGGGUGCAAGAUACCCACCUGAGAGAAAAGAAAAAGAAGAGCAUCUCAUUCUCCUCAUAAAGUUUCAAAAGCAAGGAAGGUAUGUAUCCCCUCAAAAGAGCAAAGUAGAAUUAGACUUCCACCACCAUUGUUUUCACCAUUGUUAUCACCAUCAUCACCAUACACCAUUCAUUCGCCACACAUGCACAUCUUGUUUCUUUGGAUCCAUGGUUUGACUAUGCAAUAAAUGUCUUGUAAGUAUGUAUACUUUAUCUCCCACCUAUGAGCUCCAGAUAUUAAAGCCUUAUUAGAGUAGGGUG
rnacentral:lncRNA from 1 species